UCCUCCCUCUUUCUUCGUGCUUAACACAUGCAAGUCGAACGCGCCUGUCCUCUGGGUUUCUGGGGGGUGGGUGCGUGGCGAACGGGUGAGUAACACGUGAGUAACCUGCCUCCUGCUUCGGGAUAACGGUCUGAAAGGGCUGCUAAUACCGGGUAUUCACUGGUCUCCGCAUGGGGUCGGGUGGAACGGUUUUUUUCUGGAGGGGGAGGGGCUCGCGGCCUAUCAGCUUGUUGGUGGGGUGAGGGCCGACCAAAGCUUCGACGGGUAGACGGCCAGAAAGGGUGACCGGUCACAUAGGGACUGCAGUACGGCCCAGACUCCGACGGGGGGCAGAAGUGGGGAGUAUGCAGCAAUGGGCGCUAGCCUAAAGCAGCGACACCGCGGAAGGGAUGGUGGCGUGUGAGUUGUGAAACUCUUACGCCCGUAAUCAAGCCGCAACGUGGAUCAUGGUGAGGGUAGUGGGUAAAGAAGCGCCGGCUAACUACGUG
rnacentral:rRNA from 1 species